AUGGCUCUGGGCUGGAGCAAGGCUUUCCUUAGAGAAGCCAGUCCCCUUCCCCUUGCCCCCGCACUGCUGUCCCCCUGGGCCACGCUGCCCCCACAGCCUCUGCCUGCUGUGUGGAGGCAACGAGGGGCGGCCUGCUGCUGGUGGAGGCCGGGGGAGCGGCUGCUCUGGCUAGGAGUGGGACAAUUAAUGUCCUCCGUCAGGGCGGCAAGUCUCCAGACUUUGAGAAACAUCCCGGGGUUGGGCCGUGCCUGCCUGUUCCUGCAGUGGCUGAAAUACAGCCUUAUCCUGAGGGAAAUGGCGGUGAGAGGCGGCUGCCGGCUGGGAAAGGGGGGAGGCCUUGUGGCUGCGGAGAGCAGGAGCUGCUGCCGGCUGCUGUGGUGCGAAACGAAGAAGCACUUGUGUCCCAACUUCUUCAGGAGCUUAAAAAGACCUUCCUCUUGCUUCAGAGAUAAGGAGUAAGGGGAGAAAAAAGGGAAGUGAAGGACAGGGAGACUCACAGUGUUGGCAGAAGAAACAGAUGCUGGCAGAAGAAAUGGAUGAAGAAGCAGAGUGUGGUUUAUCACACCUGAACACGGGAAGAAUUAGGCUGAGGCUCAUCUGUUUCUCUUUGGUUUGGAGGCUGUGCUAUUGUCAGUUCUUUCUCUAGUAUGUUGUUUAUCUACGCUGAAAGAGAAUGGUGAGAUUUAGAUACAGCAGUAAAAUGUCAUGAAAUUUUGCAUGAAUAUUCUGCAUAAAGUGUGAAUUGCUAGGUGACCAUAAUGCAGAAAGAUAAUUUGAAUCAGCUGUGCUAUAAGCUGGGUGUCGCCUCGCUUCACAUCCCAGUUCAGACGGUUGGAUUGAGAACAUCAGAAGGAGGUGCUGCUUUCUGACACUGAGAUACAGCCAGGAUCACGAGCUAUGACAAUCAGAUUUUUCAUCUAAAUUACCUGAUUGCAGCAGGUGCAUUAUGUGACAGGGAAUGUACCAAAGCCACAUGGACUUGCUCAUAUGCAUCAGAUUUCAUGACUGCCGUGGAAGUACUUCUUUUAUCCACACCAUAUGGCAGUUCAAGACACAUUAAAUAGCCUUUUUCUUCCGCCAGGAUUGGCAAAAACCCUAAUCCAACAGCAAAUUUCUAUACAAAAUCAGCAGUCUCUAACAAAAUGACACAGUCACAAUUCGGCAUGGUAUCAAGUGAUGGCAUUAUAGCCAUCCAUCUGCUGUACUGCAGGAAAAAAAAAUCUUAAAGCAAUAGCCACCAUUCUAAAUGACUCCCAUUUUAUUUCCUGUUAAACAUGGCUAAGUGUAUAAAUGUUUUUACCACAAAUGAACUGCCAUAAAUAUAUAUAUAUAUGCAUUUGUGUGUGUUCAGUAAGUGAGGCUGAGAGUAAAUGCCAGUGCAAGUAAGUCCAGAUUCAGAAGUGUUGUGGAGAACAUAAUCCAUGAACAGCUGACUGCCAAAAUGCUAACCACAUGGUAGCAUCAUAGUAGUAGCAUCAUAGGGUGCUAACAAGCACCGAGACAUUUGUAUCAGAGGGACUGUUGAUGUCUUCAGUUAAGGUUCACAAAUUCACAAGUUAUAUAAAAUAAAUGGAUUCAAAGGUAAUAUUUUAACA
ensembl:lncRNA